AGUCCAAUAGUUUAACGGUUAUGACGUAUCCUUCACAUCCUGUGACUAUACGUCGCGAACGGAUAAGAUCCCGGUUCGAUUCCGGGUUGGACUA